rnacentral:lncRNA from 1 species
AAAUUUCUAUGCACUCACCUAUGGUUUCUACAUGGAAAAGUGAGAAAAGAAAAGACAUCAAAAUUAUAUAAAGACACACAAACCCUCCCAGCAAUGGCAUGGAGACCCGUCAGAGACUCCUGGGC